GGGUGCAAUCAUACCAGCGUUAAUGUACCGAAUCCCAUCGGAACUCCGCAGUUAAGUGUGCUUGGGCCAAAGUAGUACUGGGAUGGGUGACCUCCUACGAAGUCCUAGUCUUGCACCCUC
rnacentral:rRNA from 1 species